ensembl:lincRNA
CUUCUUUCCAUCAGUUGUCUUAAUAAUGGAAACUCCUGCAGGGGACGUUUAAGAGGUAGAACAUGUGUUACUAAUUUGUAAAUGCAUGUAUGGCCCUACUGAUACUGUAUAAUUAAGCCAUCAAAAACUAAUGCACUUAUAGAUGGAUUGCUAGAUCGAUUUUAAUAGGGGUUUCCAGAUAAGGCAGACUGUGAAUGUGGCUGCCUUUUGUUUCCUUGUGUGACGCAUGCUUUAUAAGGCAGCUUUGAAGGACAUUGUGAGGUUGGUUCUUGGGGCAAAUAACCACCACCUCCUUCUGUGAGAAAUCCACACAGCACACAGCGCAGACUGAAACAGCUGAAGGAGGGCAUUGAGGCUCAGUUUCCAGCUCUCGACACACCAGUUGACAAAAUGAAGAGGGAGACAAUCCUUGUGUUGGGACUGGUGUUAAUCCUCUCUAUGGCUGUCCUUUCAUCUGAAGGCAGAAAACUCAAGUGUUGCAAAAAAUAUUUUCUGAAACAUCACAAGAAUGGUAAUGAUUUUAUUUUUCUCUUUUCCUCGUUUUCUUAGUUAAUUACUCACUCAAAACAUAUUUGUAGAGCUUAUUUCAACAGAGUUUGUUCCUGCUUACUGAUUUUACUCAUUACUCAUUGUAGAGAUUGCUUCUGUUUUAUAAGCUAAAACUCAAAAUGACAAAAUUCCCUGCUUCGUUUUUUCACCUCACAAAAUCCUUUCCUGUGAGUCGUCACAACACUUCAAUUUCUGUAGUGCCCCAGUGAUUUCUCUUACUAUCAAAGUGAAAUUGGGAUUACUGGAAUUCAUUAUCACAAUGUUAAGUGCAGAAUCCAUCAUGGAAAAAAUGUGAAUAAUGCUGAGUAUCAAUGAUCUUUUUCAGUUAAGCAUCCACCCUGAAUUAUUAUUAUUCUGAAAAGUUUAUUCUUCUGUAAAUUGCUAGUUUUGGAGUCACAUCUGAUCUAAAUUUUACUUGAAACUGGGGUACAGCCUGUUAAUUAUUUACUAAAUUUAACAUUAUUUUGAAGGCUCCAAAAAGUUGCUGGUCAUAUUUUUGGUGCUUGGUUUGUUGGUCAUAACAUACGAAUGUUUUCAGAAUUAGACUUCACAGAAUACUUUUUAAAUGCUAUUCUAAUACACCUGGGAUUUUAUACUUCACAGUUUCUCUUGUACUGUAUAUUUAAGAAGCACCUGACUUCAGCAAAACAAAAGUAACAUGAACUAGUGUAUUGAAUUUCAAUCUCGACUUGGCCUGUGAAAAUAUUUUUUUUGCUUACCUUCCUUGUGUCAACAAAAGUAAAAAAUACUCUCUGUGUGAACUGUAUGAGACAUAUAUAAGUUAAAAGUCAUUUGUUCCAUUUUUCUAAGGUGUGCCUGCUUAUCUCUUCUUGCAGGUAGCAUUAUUUACCCAUAACCAUUAUGUAUGACUUUUAUUGGAUUUUAAUUAUUUUAUGAUUUAUGGUUUGGAUUUGGUUGUCAUGGCAAGAUUAAAAGUCAUUCACUGAAACAUCCGUUUUGGUUUUAACAGUGUUGAAGUUCCCGGUGACCAUUUGUGGUGGUUUUUGAUAUAUAUGUAUAUUUUUUUUUAUAAGACAGCUGCAAAACAUUGUUUUGUUUUUUUACUAUGUAUUUACUAUGAUCUAGGAGACAGCACAGGACCAUUUGGAUUAUUCUGUCACUGACAGUCACAGACAGUUGAAUGUAGACCUAAGUUAUUAGACAAUUGUCUGAGUGCAACCUCCUGCUGUUUGUCUUGAUGCUGCAGCUGACUUGUUACCUGGGACAUUAAGGGUGUGUUUCCCCUUAUCUAAUAUCUUUCUUUUACAGACUCCCUCAGGCCCAAGAAUGCCAAGACUGGCCAUCGCUGCAGGCCAUGCAGACCAAACAUACCUCUCCCUUCUUCGUAAUCAGCUUCUGCCAUGCUUGCGUGACAAAGCUGGGAAGGCGUAUACACACCAGCAUAAUACUUUCAAGGGAAUAAAGCAUCUUGCCUAGUGAUUCAUCUUCUGAAUAAAAAAAAAGUAGAUCUGACGUUGAUGCUAUGCACAGCCUUAACUAUGCACCAUAUACUGUAUGUGUCUGGCUUUGAUAGCUCAAACUAAGAAAAGCUUUUGUAGUAUUCUUUAAUGCAAAAUUCAACCCACGGGAAAAUCGAAAUAUUUGUUACCCUCACAUGCAACUAAUGAUUUAGGUUUCUUGUUGUAAUGGGUAAUUUUUUAAACAGCCCUUAUUAUUGAAACUAUUGUUUGACAUUUCUAACCUGCUUUUUUCUUAUUCUGUAUGAAAACGGAAUAAAAAUAUAUUCUGCUACAUGGACACCUAUCUUGCUACAUUAAAAUAAAAAAAAUAUUGUACUUCUUCAAGUCCCAAUU